CUCUUGCUGGAUUGUGUUGGGCUAUAUAAGCCCACACAACUUAGGCUUCAUUUAUGAAGCGCCAGUAAGAGUGUUCUGUUCUACUGCUGUGCCAGCUAACGCGGCAAUACAGAGUGAACUUCCUUACUUUAGGAGGAGAAUUAAGGCACCAUUUCCCAGGUUCUUGUGAGGAAAUCGAGUAGUUUACGGUGUACUGGGAACAAGAGAACAAGCCUCUUGUGAAGAAUAAACGUCCUAGCCUUUGGGUAAGCCAACCUGGUUCCUUGGUUUACCGAUAGACCGCUACACCUUACUUUCUCUUUUUGAAGUCCUUGCAUGGCCCAUUUUUCCUCAAGUUUUUUGAGGAAAUUUGGUGUCAUGGGGUUAAGGAAGACUAAACCAUGGGAUGCAAGAUUGGGUGAAAUCCCAAUCUUGUAGCACUAGGAAGUAAUCUUGGUCAUAGUGGGCCAAGGUGAAGUGUAGAACCAAAGGAUUUCUUGCUCGUCACCUGGGGUGGUCUAAAGGCCAUCCUGGCAAGUCGAAACACGGUAGGAGUUGGGGA
rnacentral:rRNA from 1 species